AUGAAGAGAAAAGUAGUGAAUGCUGGCAAGCUGAGAUUGAGUCCUAAUGAGGAAGCCUUUGUUUUGAGGGAAGAUUAUGAAAGAAGACGAAAACUAAGAUUGCUACAGGUUCGAGAACAAGAAAGGGAUAUUGCCUUACGGAUUAGAGAAGACAUAAAGCAGAGGAGAAAUCAGCAAUUUGCUCGUUUGGCAGAGGAGCUAAGGGCAGAAUGGGAAGAAUCACAAACUCAAAAAAUACAGAACUUGGAAAAACUGUAUUUAGCAAGUUUAAAAAAUAUGGGAGAGGGACAUCGACAGGCCAAAGAAAAUGAACCUGAUUUGGAUGCUCUGGCACGGCAAACAGCAGAAAGGAAGAGAAAAGCAGAAAUGAGGCAUAAAGAGGCCUUGAAAAUGCAGAAAAAUCAAAACGAAAUACUAACGAAACAAAAAAACUGGUAACGUAAUCAUUUUCAUCACAUUCCCAACUGAAAUUAACAAGGCUGUAAGUAGAGGAUCCAUAGCACACUGUAUAAGUAGAUAUUAUAUAGAAGUCAUAUAGUAUAUCCAUUGCAUUUUGUUAAACUGGAUUUAAAAAUAAUACAAGAGGGAGUAUUAUUGCUAAGAUGAACUAAUAACGGAUGACCUUUCUCUUCCAGUUGGAUUCUGUUUAUUCUGAGGUUAGCAGCAAUGACUAAAUUUCUGAAGCAGUGUGUAGACAGUAUUUGUGUAUCAAGCAAAACCUGUCUUUUACAUAAGAAAAAAAAUUAAUGUAAUUCAGAACAUUAAAAGAGGUUGUAGACUCUGGAAGUCAUUAAUAUUUUUUGUAUGGUAUAAUACUUACUGUGCCUCAUACUGCUCACUAGUGGUCAUUUUGUAUAGUGGCCCAUCUCUUUCAGCAUUUCUACUUUUUGACACUAAACUAUACUAAAAAAACAUUAGAUGUUUCUGGGUUGGUCUCCACUAUAUCUCUUUCAAUUGGUAAAUAUUUUCUUACAUUAUGUCCACUGUAUAUAGAUUUUUUUUUUUUUUUUUUGGUACGAGGGAUUGAGCCCACAGUGCUCACACUGAGCCACAUUCCCAGCCCCUCCCCUUACCUUUUUUAAUUUUCUAUUUUUUAUUUUGAGGUGGUGUCUCAAUAAGUUGUCCAGGCUGCCCUUGAACUUGUGAUUCUCCUGCUUCAGCCUCCCACAGUGCUGACAUUGCAGGCAUGCACCACCACGCUCAGCUUAGACUCUUUUUAUUAAAUUAUAGAGUGUGUUUGUGGGAUCAGACUGGAGGACUUCUAGAGAUUCCUUGGCCUUUGUGUUUUAACCCUAAGAAAUUACCUGAAAGAUUAAGUGAUGACAUUUCUUGUUUUUAAGGCGUAUAAAAGCUCGGAAGGAAGCAUUGCUUGUAGAAAAAGAGAGGUCUGCCAAAAUUACAAGUUUGCCUCCUCCUCCUCCUGCUCCUUUUGAGGUAAAUUACUUAGAACUUUGAGAGAAACUGGGUUAUGACAACUUUAUUAUUAAACUUCAGUGGAGGACAAAGUAAUUAUUGUUUGAACUUAAUUUUUAAUUACAUAAGUAAUGCAUGAGUAAAUCUGGAAUACUUUGAAUCU
rnacentral:lncRNA from 1 species